rnacentral:rRNA from 1 species
UACGUAGGGGGCGAGCGUUGUCCGGAAUCAUUGGGCGUAAAGAGCGUGUAGGCGGCCCGGUAAGUCCGCUGUGAAAGUCGGGGGCUCAACCCUCGAAUGCCGGUGGAUACUGUCGGGCUAGAGUGCGGAAGAGGCGAGUGGAAUUCCUGGUGUAGCGGUGAAAUGCGCAGAUAUCAGGAGGAACACCAAUUGCGAAGGCAGCUCGCUGGGACGGUACUGACGCUGAGGCGCGAAAGCGUGGGGAGCGAACAGG